ACAAUAAGGACUGCAAGACUCUAUCUUACAUCAACUGAAUGCAAAUCAAUCACUUUAAUUAAGCU
rnacentral:tRNA from 1 species